UACGUAGGGUGCAAGCGUUAAUCGGAAUUACUGGGCGUAAAGCGUGCGCAGGCGGUUUUGUAAGUCUGUCGUGAAAUCCCCGGGCUUAACCUGGGAAUGGCGUUUGGGACUGGGUCGCUAGAGUGUGGCAGAGGGAGGUGGAAUUCCACGUGUAGCAGUGAAAUGCGUAGAGAUCUGGAGGAACACCGGUGGCGAAGGCGGCAUCCUGGACCGAUAUUGACGCUGAUGCGCGAAAGCCAGGGGAGCAAACGGG
rnacentral:rRNA from 1 species